CGAUGAUACGCGAGGAACCUUACCUGGGCGUCGAACGUAAGAUGACUGUAGGUGAAAGCUUACAUCUCUUCGGAGCAUUUUACGAGGUGCUGCAUGGUUGUCGUCAGCUCGUGCCGUGAGGUGUCGGGUUAAGUCCCAUAACGAGCGCAACCCCUACCUUUAGUUGCCAUCAGGUAAUGCUGGGGACUCUAAAGGAACUGCCUACGCAAGUAGUGAGGAAGGCGGGGAUGACGUCAAAUCAGCACGGCCCUUACGUCCAGGGCUACACACGUGCUACAAUGGCCGAUACAGAGGGCAGCUACCUGGUGACAGGAUGCAAAUCUCCAAAGUCGGUCUCAGUUCGGAUCGGAGUCUGCAACCCGACUCCGUGAAGUUGGAUUCGCUAGUAAUCGCGCAUCAGCCAUGGCGCGGUGAAUACGUUCCCGGGCCUU
rnacentral:rRNA from 1 species